CAAACAGGCACACACAACACGGCCUGCCGGCCGGGAGAGCCUAAUCAGAUCUACUUCUGUGAUUCGAUCAUAGUAUGCUAUUUAUGGUUUGUGUGAAAUUACUGUCCCCUAACUGGUGAACCAGGUGGUGUUCAGGCGUGGUCACCGGUGUCACGCGUCAUCACCAGAGCUUGGCUAGCGAGCGGCGAUGGGCUAGCGCAUGCAUGUGACAGCUAUAGGUAGGCAGUCACGGCCAUGCAUGCCCAUCUUUCUCUGUUCUCUAUAUAGUACGGGCCUCUUUUGUUUCGUAACUAAGGUAUCAUAAUGUAUCUAGCUAAGUUUAGAGUCUGUUCCAAAGCAUACGGUUUUUUAAGAAACUCGUUUAUAGAAACUAGAGUGAUUCUAACUGUACCAGUUUAUAGUUUAUGUUCCAGUUUAUAGAAACUGGAUUCUCGGUUUCUUAAAAACCAAAGAGCUUCUCUCUUCGGGCUAAAACCAGAUUUUGCUUGUUUAAUUACAUCAUGGGCUUCUUGGUUUUAUAAAAUUUACAUCCAUUGACACCACUUUUAAAAAUAGAGGAAGGGCAUGGUAGUAAUUGUGUAUAAAAAAACUAAAAAUUGGUUUAUUAGAAACCGAGUUACAAACAUCCCUACCCAAUUUUUUUUUCUAUAAACGAGUUUCUAUAAAGCAGGGAUAGAAACCGAUGUUUAAAAACCCGGUGUGUUUCAGGUUAGUCAUUUGAAGAGAAAAAUUAGAUAUAACUUAGAGAGGAAACAAAAGAGACUUAUAGCCUAAUAUCUGUACACAUCGGACGCCGCUACUAUUCCGCAACCCCAUAUAGAUGACCAAGUAGAUCGUGCUAAAUGAGUCGGCACUAAGCACGGCACGACCCGUAGUGCUUCGCCACGAUACGAUUCAUAUAGUGUCAGUGUCGGCACGACACGUGUCUAGUGCUGUGCUUGGGCCUCCGUCCCGGUACGAUGGGCUGGCACGAGCACGACAUGAUUAGGUGGUCAAUACGAUUAGGCACGGCUUAGACCAACUGGUAGUAUGUAGAUGUGAUGUGUGGUAUGUACUUGUGAUUGUGAAUUAUGAUUUCUUAUGGUUUUAAGCAUAAUAAAUCCACUUUACAAUGGUAUUCAUGUUCAAGUUCUAAAAUUAUACAUAUAAUCUUAGAGAUCUUGUAUGUUUUUUGAGCUCUCAAAAAUAAUGCCUCGACUGGCACAUGCACUAUUAGGUGUUAGUUACGUAUAGUGUCGACACGGCACGAUUAGGCACUAUAGUGUAAUGACUGGGCCGAUGACUAGGCACUAGUGCCGGCACGACACGAUUACUAAUAGUGCCUAACAGUGUCGUGCCUAAUAAUACUGGUGCCAGUGUCGGUCCGAACGACCCGUUUGGCCAUCUAUACCCCCUUGCCCCCCUCCCUCGCCAGUUCACCUAGCCGUUUUUAGGGCAUGUACAACCAUAUUAAUUAAGGGGUCUCUAGACAUUUUUCUACAAAAGACUCAAAAGAUAAACUCUUCACGAAGAGCUCGUCUCUUCAUGAUUUUCUAUACAUAUCAUCUCUUAACUGCAUUAAUGUUUUAGUAACUCAAGCUUAUAUGAAGCAUUUUUAGCCGUCUUUUCUACUUGGAAAAACGAGCAAGACGCUUUAGAUUGUACAUGCUCUUAUAGUCUAAGGCUAUCUCCAGCAACGUCCUCUAAAUUUCAUUCGCUAAAGGAAUAUUAUCUGUCAUUUACAACACACUCUAAGGUAGUGUUUGAUUGAAGAGCCAAGUAGAACGGAACCGUUCUGUCCCAGUUUUGUUGCUGUUUGGUUACAAAGGAACUAGAACGGAAUGACUCCAAUUAGGGAAUAUUCUCCUCAGAUCCGGAACCAUUCCGCUCCAAAAAAUCAACCGGACGGAGCCGUUCCGUUCCCAUCCCGCUCUCACAGUCACGCUCCGUUCCGUUCACUCUGCAACCAAACAAAAAACAGAGUCGCUCCGUUCCAGAUUACCAAACACAGAACAGAGUAGUUCCGUUCUUAGAAUCAGGGAUGGAACGGCUCCGUUCCACUUGGCUCCUCAACCAAACACUACCUAAAAGAUUCUAUUAUCUCAGUCUCCAGUAACAUCUUCUAAAUUCGGUUCUCUAUAGCUACAGUGUUAAUAGAAUUCUUUUUGUCCAUUUUCUUUAGUUUAUAUUUGAUUUUCUUUUCAUUACACGCUAAUUCAAAAAAAACAUGCACGACAAUAGCUUUUUAAAAAUUUAGAUUGCGUAUUCCUUGACAUUAAGACUACAUACCGUACAUUUUGAAUAGAUUUGAGUAUCAUGCAAUAUUUACGUAAACAUGUUACCAGCCAUUUCCAUUUGUUUGUAUUUUUUCGUAGUCAUAUACACAAACCAAAAAGUAUGCCUAUGACGCACAGACAUUAUGUCGAACUCGUGGUAUGCACUGGCUGGAGAUGGUGCUCAUCAGAUGGUGCUGGAGAUGUCCUCUCCACGUUCGUCUCAUUCCCGAGGUACCACUACCGGAAUCGUAGGCUUUGCCGAGUGUCUGAUGCACUCGGCGAAGCUUUAAAAACACUCGGCAAACUCUUUGCCGAGUGUGGCACUCAGCAAAGAGGGCUCGGCAUACAGUGCAUCGGCAAAGCCGUCUUUGUCGAGUACUUUUUCUGGGGCACUCGGCAAAGAGGUUUGCUGAGUGCCAGAGAGCACUCGACAAAGAAAAGCAACCGUUACGGCGACGCGUGACGGAGACGAAGUCUUUGCCGAGUGUCUCGGGCGACACUCGGCAAAGAAGUUCACUUUGCCGAGUCUCUGCCAGACAGCACUCGACAAAGAACCCGCCAGAGAGGGUCCCAUGUCAGGCUCUUUGCCGAGUGCUCGGUACGACACUCAGCAAAGAAUGAUUCUUUGCUGAGUGUUAGAGACAUUGCACUCGGCAAAGAACCUAUACCGGUGCCCAGGUCUUGGUUCUUUGCCGAGUGCUAUGGCCUUGACACUCGGCAAAGAACCUCUUUGCCGAGUGUAACACUCGGCAAAGUGAGCAGUAGACACCUUUUUUAUUUGUUUUUUAUAUUCUAUCCAAACAAACAAAAGAUAUCACAUAUACAUCACAUAUAUACAUCACAGAUAUCAUCACAAACAUAAAUAUUCAACGCAGACAUAAAUAUCCAUCACAAACUUAAGUGUUCAACACGAGUAUCCAACACAAACAUAAGUCUCAUACGUCUCAAGCUCUGACAUAAGUAUCCAACACAAACAUAAGUAUUCAACACAAGUUCUGAAGUCUAUACACUGAAAACAUAACACUCAUGGAGGUGGGCGGUUCGACUGGUGCUACGUUGGGUUGAACCCUUCCGGAGGGUUGUAGGAUGCUGCCGCAGAUUGGCCCUGCACAGAGAAGAGAUUGCAUGUGUUAUACCAGAUGCAUUACCAACAUGUAACUACAAUUUUGAUACUCACAGGAGUAUGGAACUGAG
rnacentral:lncRNA from 1 species